rnacentral:rRNA from 1 species
CUCGUAGGCGGUUUGUCGCGUCGGCCGUGAAAUCUCCACGCUUAACGUGGAGCGUGCGGUCGAUACGGGCAGACUUGAGUUCGGUAGGGGAGACUGGAAUUCCUGGUGUAGCGGUGAAAUGCGCAGAUAUCAGGAGGAACACCGGUGGCGAAGGCGGGUCUCUGGGCCGAUACUGACGCUGAGGAGCGAAAGCGUGGGGAGCGAACA